GGGCCCGUAGCUCAGCUGGAUAGAGCGGCUGACUACGGAUCAGCAGGUCGGGGGUUCGAAUCCUCCCGGGCCCGCCA
rnacentral:tRNA from 5 species